CCCUUAGAUGUUCUGGGCCGCACGCGCGCUACACUGAUGCAUUCAACGAGUUCUACCUUGGCCGAGAGGCCUGGGCAAUCUUUUGAACUUGCAUCGUGAUAGGGAUAGAUUAUUGCAAUUAUUAAUCUUGAACGAGGAAUUCCUAGUAAACGCAGAUCAUCAAUCUGCAUUGAUUACGUCCCUGCCCUUUGUACACACCGCCCGUCGCACCUACCGAUUGAAUGGUCCGGUGAAGCCUCGGGAUUGUGGUUAGUUUCCUUUAUUGGAAGGUAGUCACGAGAACCUGUCUAAACCUUAUCAUUUAGAGGAAGGUGAAGUCGUAACA
rnacentral:rRNA from 1 species